UGAGGAAUAUUGGGCAAUGCCCGCAAGGGUGACCCAGCAACGCCGCGUGGAGGAUGAAUGUCGUAAGAUUGUAAACUCCUGUUAGAGGGGAAGAAUAGUACCGGUUGGACCGGUAUAUGACUGUACCCUCAGAGAAAGCCCCGGCUAACUACGUGCCAGCAGCCGCGGUAAUACGUAGGGGGCAAGCGUUGUCCGGAUUUACUGGGUGUAAAGGGCGCGCAGGCGGGAUAAAAAGUCAGUGGUGAAAUCCUACAGCUUAACUGUAGAACUGCCUUUGAUACUUUUAUUCUUGAGUUCGGGAGAGAGAGACUGAAUUCCAGGUGUAGUGGUGAAAUACGUAGAUAUCUGGAAGAACACCAGUUGCGAAGGCGGUCUCUUGGUCCGACACUGACGCUGAGGCGCGAAAGCGUGGGGAGCAAACA
rnacentral:rRNA from 1 species